AAUUCCGGUAACGCCGGUUCGACUCCGGCUAGGGCCUGGCUCUAUAGUGUAGUGGUUAUCACCUCGGAUUCUGAGC
rnacentral:tRNA from 1 species